GAGCUAGCAUUCGAUUUAUGAUAGAACACGAUGGACCAUCAAAGACGAUAUCAGAAAGGAAUUAAUUCCACAAAAGCUUGUAGAUUAAUGAGUUACAUGUGGAAGAAGUUUAACUGAUGGUUUAUGAAACAGAAAAGAGUUAUCAAUCAGUAAGACAAUGCAUGAGCUUGUGCUUUCCCUCGAUCUGUUUGCUGACCAAUCAUUAUGCAACUAAGAACAAAUUAUGUUAAAGAGUGGAGGAGAAUCAGAAGUGAAAGUUUUGGAACUGAUGGUAAGAAAUAAAACAUGCACAAGUUUGGGUAUUCAUAUAAAAUUUUAGAGGUGACCA
rnacentral:lncRNA from 1 species